AGUGAACGCUGGCGGUAGGCCUAACACAUGCAAGUCGAACGGCAGCACAGGAGAGCUUGCUCUCUGGGUGGCGAGUGGCGGACGGGUGAGGAAUACAUCGGAAUCUACUUUUUCGUGGGGGAUAACGUAGGGAAACUUACGCUAAUACCGCAUACGACCUACGGGUGAAAGCAGGGGACCUUCGGGCCUUGCGCGAUUGAAUGAGCCGAUGUCGGAUUAGCUAGUUGGCGGGGUAAGGGCCCACCAAGGCGACGAUCCGUAGCUGGUCUGAGAGGAUGAUCAGCCACACUGGAACUGAGACACGGUCCAGACUCCUACGGGAGGCAGCAGUGGGGAAUAUUGGACAAUGGGCGCAAGCCUGAUCCAGCCAUACCGCGUGGGUGAAGAAGGCCUUCGGGUUGUAAAGCCCUUUUGUUGGGAAAGAAAUCCAGCUGGCUAAUACCCGGUUGGGAUGACGGUACCCAAAGAAUAAGCACCGGCUAACUUCGUGCCAGCAGCCGCGGUAA
rnacentral:rRNA from 1 species